GAGCCAGACUCCUACGGGAGGCAGCAGUGGGGAAUAUUGCACAAUGGGGGAAACCCUGAUGCAGCGACGCCGCGUGAGCGAUGAAGUAUUUCGGUAUGUAAAGCCCUAUCGGCAGGGAAGAAGCAAGACGGUACCUGACUAAGAAGCCCCGGCUAACUACGUGCCAGCAGCCGCGGUAAUACGUAGGGGGCGAGCGUUAUCCGGAUUCACUGGGUGUAAAGGGAGCGUAGACGGCCAUGCAAGCCAGGGGUGAAAGCCCGGGGCCCAACCCCGGGACUGCCCUUGGAACUGCAUGGCUGGAGUGCGGGAGGGGCAGGCGGAAUUCCUGGUGUAGCGGUGAAAUGCGUAGAUAUCAGGAGGAACACCGGCGGCGAAGGCGGCCUGCUGGACCGUAACUGACGUUGAGGCUCGAAAGCGUGGGGAGCAAACAGGAUUAGAUACCCUUGUA
rnacentral:rRNA from 1 species